rnacentral:rRNA from 1 species
GUGCCAGCCGCCACGGUAAUACCGGCAGCCCGAGUGAUGGCCGAUCUUAUUGGGCCUGAAGCGUCCGUAGCUGGCCAGACAAGUCUGUUGGGAAAUCCACGCGCUCAACGCGUGGGCGUCCAGCGGAAACUGUCUGGCUUGGGGCCGGAGGACUCGAGGGGUACGUCCGGGGUAGGAGUGAAAUCCUAUAAUCCCGCACGGACCACCGAUGGCGAAAGCACUUCGAGAAAACGGAUCCGACAGUGAGGGACGAAAGCCAGGGUCUCCAACCGGAUUAGAUACCCUUGUAGUCC